GAUGAACGCUGGCGGCGUGCUUAACACAUGCAAGUCGAACGGUGAACACGGAGCUUGCUCUGUGGGAUCAGUGGCGAACGGGUGAGUAACACGUGAGCAACCUGCCCCUGACUCUGGGAUAAGCGCUGGAAACGGCGUCUAAUACUGGAUAUGUGACGUGAUCGCAUGGUCUGCGUCUGGAAAGAAUUUCGGUUGGGGAUGGGCUCGCGGCCUAUCAGCUUGUUGGUGAGGUAAUGGCUCACCAAGGCGUCGACGGGUAGCCGGCCUGAGAGGGUGACCGGCCACACUGGGACUGAGACACGGCCCAGACUCCUACGGGAGGCAGCAGUGGGGAAUAUUGCACAAUGGGCGCAAGCCUGAUGCAGCAACGCCGCGUGAGGGAUGACGGCCUUCGGGUUGUAAACCUCUUUUAGCAGGGAAGAAGCGAAAGUGGCGGUACCUGCAGAAAAAGCGCCGGCUAACUACGUG
rnacentral:rRNA from 1 species